UAAUGUGAUGUGUGGCCAAACAACAGUACUUUAGUUCAUAACAUGAUUCAAGUUCAUAACUGAUGGGCUAAUAUCUUGUCCAAAGUCUUUUUUUCACCAAUCUACCAUAGCUUGGUUUAUCGAGUUGGCUUCACAAUCUGAUAAUAACAAUGACUUAUGUGAAAUAUUGAAACAAGCAAUUGUUUUGGGACAUAAGGUCCUUAGAGCAUGAUUAUUGCAGUUUCUAAAGAAGGGUUUUAAACAAAAUAAGUCAUUUAUUUAAAUCAAAACUAAAUAAAAAGGUAAUAAGCGAUCCUUAAUACAGGAUUUUGGAGACCGAUAAUACAAAGGGUCCUUAAACCACGUGUCAGCAACUGUGAAAUUUGAUUUUUUUUUUUCUUUCUUUCUUUUCUCUUUCUUUCCUCCUCUCUUGUCUUCUCCGUCUACGAUCUACAGCGAGGUUCAGUCAAGCCGGAUCAACAACGCCCUUCCUUUGUAUUCUGUGCUCAAAGGAGCCUUCAAAAUCGUCGAAGGUCCUGUCAGCUCUGCCGCCGGGAACUUAGGUUAGGGUUUUCUCCGUCUGAUCUGAUGAAACGGUUCGUCGAAACCACCGGUGUCUCGCUUGUCUCCCAAGGAAUCUGGACACAAGGAUGCCGGCGAUUCAGAUUCCGUUCUCAGCCCUAAGCUCAAAGAAUCAGAGAAGAAACUCGUCGUGGGCAACGGCCGUGGCGGCGGAUGUGAGGCUUCUCAGGUUGCGGAAGGCGAAGACAAGGGCGAAAUCAACAUGUGCCCACCGACUCGUCUCGGGCAGUUUUACGAAUUCUUCUCCUUCUCCCACCUUACUCCUCCGAUCCAAUAUAUCAGAAGGUUUGUUCGUCCAUCAAUUGAAGAUAAAAGAUUAGAUGAUCUCUUUCAAAUCGAUAUUAAAGUUUCAAGUGGGAAGCCUAUCACGGUUGUUGCGUCAAGAACAGUUUUUUACCCAGCUGAGAAACAGCAGCUUCUUUGUCAUUCUUUAGUUGAGCUAUAUAAGCAGGCUUUUUGAUGCUGCUUAUGACACUCUUAUGAAAGCUUUCAUUGAGCAUAAUAAAUUUGGCAACCUUCCUUAUGGCUUCCGGGCAAACACUUGGGUGGUUCCUCCGGUUGUUGCAAACAAGUAAGCUCUGUUUAGGUUGUUCUAUCUAUUGAUUCUGUAACGAAGUUAAUGUUCUGUUAUGUUUAUGUUGUGUCUUCUUCUUGUUGUUGUUAUAUUUAUGUUUAUUCACUAAACUAAAGUCAUCCAUUUUCUCUCUUUUUAGUCAUCACACACGUUUUUUUUAAGAACCCUUAAGUUAAGAAACUAUGAAUGGAGGACAAAAAGUUAGUUGUUUCUUAACUAAAUUCUUAACACACAUUUAAUACUAAAAAAGUGAUCAAGAAACCCUUAUGGGGUUAUAGGGAUAAUGAUGCUCUUAGGCUAAAGUUCGUCAGUCUAGUGGUUUAACUAAAAAUUUAUUAAUACUUCUACAAAAAGCAAAUUAUGCACAUAAUUUUUUUAAAAAAAUUUACAAGACAUCUUCAUCGUGACACAAAAAAUAUAGUCGGGAAUUGAUCUCAUAGAAGGGCUCGGGUAAUGCAUUCAAAUGUGAAUAUAGAAAUUAAAAAGGUCUCUAGGCUCCUGGUAUGUAAUCAACAUUCAUGUAGAGAUCAAUAUGUACAUAUAACCGAAGAGAAAGAGCUUAUGACGAAGACCGAACAAUCAAAUAUCUCAAAUUACUUCAAAUACUUUAUUAUAUGAGAACAUAAGAUGUAGAAAAAUGGAGCUCAGAAACAAAAUUUGUAACCAAUGUGUAGUUUUUUUAAAACAUUGUCUAAAACAGAACACCGUGACUACUCGGCUUCGUCAAGAUACGUACUCUACAACAAGAAGUUC